UCCUUACAAGAGUUGAGAACCUGCAAGGAAGGAAAGCAUUGUUUGCUAUGUCAACACUCGCCGCUUAUCGCCAUCGCCAAACUAAUGGCACAUGAAAGUAUCAAAUCCAAUAUUAGCCAUCCAUUUCUAAUCGAACGCUAGAAUUAAAACCAUUCAUUUCUAUUGUACUCCAUGGAGUGGCCUUGUAAUAAUUUAUUUUGCCUAUAAAAGCAAAUUACCAACCUCUGCAAACUUCAUCUUUAAUCUCUCUCUCAAAUCAGCCCAUAAGCCCCCCCUCUUGGGGGCUGCCUUCUCUCUCUUAGAUAGACCAAAAAAAAUUUUCGAAAUUGCUUUCUUUGUGUUUGUGAAAACAGAGCCUCUGCUUCUCUCAAGAAUACCCAAUUCAAAUUUGCAAAGAAUUGAUGGUGGUGAUGCCAACUGAUCCUCGUCCUCCUCUGAAGAUCAAGAACUCAAAUUUCCCUCCAAUCCGAAAGAGAGGCAGGGUCAAAGCUCAAAUUUUUGAGAGCUUGGCAAAGACUGUCGUCUCUGUGGCCUUCAAGGCAGGAGGAAUUCUGAAAAGAAACGGAGGAGAACGUGGAGAUAGCGGAAGUUCUUCCCCUGCGACCCCAGCACCCAGUCCCUUCCAACUCUAAAGCCAAUUCUGAUUUCUUAGACGCGAUCAGAUUGGUACUCAUGAACAAGUUGAAUCGUUUGGUGUAGCUUAAAGAUGUAGAAAACCAACAAGGGUUCCUUGCAUAACUCAUAUUUGAGCUAGUUUUAGCAAGGAUUAUACCCAUCUAUGUGUAUAUUUUGUAAUUCAGCGUCUUUGUAGCUAUGAUUUUGGCUGUCUUUUAGAGGAAGCCCAAAUCAUAUUCAUCAUUUCUCAAGUUUUAGGGAAGAGAUGAUAGUUUAUAUGUGUACUUGUGAUGGUGUCUUUGCUUUUUGUAUUCCCACUUCUCUGUUAAGUCAUGUCUACUUCUUGUAUUCUGUUAAUUGUAAUGGCAAUGAAUUUUAUUUGGCAUUUUGUAUU